GGAUUACAGGCGUGAGCCACCGUGCCCAGCCAUUUCUGGCUCUUAAACUUUGGAAAAGUCUUUAUCUUGUAAGUAGCAGGCUAGAACUUGUGCAAGAAGAGUGACCCUAUGUGAAGAGUGUUUUGAAUCUGAGGGUGAGAUGUCAGGCAACAACCAUGCCUUCCACUUUACCGGGCAGGGAAGAUACCCUGACCACAAAGGUGGUUUUCCCAGGGCAAGGUUCACUCAUUGCAUUCUGUGUUUGCUGGCCCCUGUGAUUUCCCCAAAUGUGGGAUACUCAACUGCAUAAUUUGUGGUAGUGGGCGACUGUGUUCACACUUUCCCCUGUGUUAUUCUUUGUCAAAUGGGAAGUAGCCAAUGUGAUUGUCUGUGGCCGUGUUUGGCUUCUCCUUGCUUGUUUCUUGUGAACUGUGUCUUUAAAUUUCCAUGGAAGUGAGAAGCUGUACUACUAUUUAGUUUGUGAUAGUAACAGGCUUCCUUGGUGUUUUUUCUUGGCUGUGUUCCCUUAAUCCAGCAUAAACUUUGUACACAAUGAGUACCACAUAUAUGUUGGCUGAGUCAAAUGAACUGGAAAUCAAACUCAGGAAGGAUUUCCUUUAAGCAUUUUUAUUUUUAGAGACAGGGUCUUGCUCUUGUCUCCCAGACUGGAGUACAGUGGUGCUCAAUCAUGGCUCAAAGCAGCCUUGACCUCCUGGACUCAGUCCUUCUGCCUCAGCCUUCCAAGUAGCUGUACAGGCAUGUGCCACCACGGCUGGCUAAUUUUUUUUUUUUUUUUUUUUUUGAGACGGAGUUUCCCUCUUGUUGCCCAGGCUGGAGUGCAAUGGUUUGAUCUCGGCUCCCAGCACCCUCCACCUCCUGAGUUCAAGCGAUUCUCCUGCCUCAGCCUCCUGAGUAGCUGGGAUUACAGGCACCCGCCACAACACCUGGCUACUUUUUUGUAUUUUUUAGUAGAGACGGGGUUUCGCCAUGCUGGCCAGACUGGCCUCAGGUGAUCUGCCUGCCUCGUCCUCCCAAAGUACUGGGAUUACAGGCGUGAGCCACCCCACCUGGUCAGCUGGCUAAUUUUAAAAGAACUUUUUGUAGCAUAGGGUCUCGCUAUGUUGCCCAGGCUGGUCUCGAACUCUUGGCCUCAAGUGAUCCUCCCACCUCGGCCUCUCAAGGUGCUGGGAUUACAAAAAUGAGUACCAUACCUGGCCCCUAAAGGAUUUUAACCUGCUCUUAACAAUGACUAUAGAAUUGAAAUUCAUUCAUUGCAUUCUAAAAUGACUACUUUGAAUGAUCACCUUUAGGUUCUGACAUAGUAGUUUGUUGGUUUUGUUUUGUUUUGUUUUCUUUUGUUUGAGAUGGAGUUUCACUCUUAUUGCUCAGUCUGGAGUGCAAUGGCAUGAUCUUGGCUCACUGCAAC
rnacentral:lncRNA from 1 species